CAGUCGCCGCGGUAAUACGAAGGGUGCAAGCGUUAAUCGGAAUUACUGGGCAUAAAGCGUGCGUAGGCGGUGAGUUAAGUCUGCUGUGAAAUCCCCGGGCUCAACCUGGGAAUGGCAGUGGAUACUGGCUCGCUAGAGUGUGUCAGAGGAUGGUGGAAUUCCCGGUGUAGCGGUGAAAUGCGUAGAGAUCGGGAGGAACAUCAGUGGCGAAGGCGGCCAUCUGGGACAACACUGACGCUGAGGCACGAAAGCGUGGGGAGCAAACAGGAUUAGAUACCCCCGUAGUCCCUGUCUCUUAUAC
rnacentral:rRNA from 1 species